UACGUAGGGGGCAAGCGUUGUCCGGAAUCAUUGGGCGUAAAGGGUGCGUAGGUGGCGCUGUAAGUCGGGUGUGAAAUCUCGGGGCUUAACUCCGAAACUGCAUUCGAUACUGCCGUGCUUGAGGACUGGAGAGGAGACUGGAAUUUACGGUGUAGCGGUGAAAUGCGUAGAUAUCGUAAGGAAGACCAGUGGCGAAGGCGGGUCUCUGGACAGUUCCUGACGCUGAGGCACGAAGGUCAGGGGAGCAAACGGG
rnacentral:rRNA from 1 species